rnacentral:rRNA from 1 species
AAAGUUGAAAAGUACUUUGAAGAGAGAGUAAACAGUGCGUGAAACCGCUCAGAGGUAAACGGGUGGAGUUGAACUGCAAACUCUGAGAAUUCAGCUGGUGAGUGUGGUUUGGGCUUGGUCAAAGUGAUUGGCCUGGUGGGUCUGCUCAGCUGCAGGUCCCUGCCUUCGGGUGGGGAUGUGCGAGGCACUUGUCAAGUGUUGCGCGCCCGCAAGGUAACUCGGAUCAGCUCGCCAGUGCACUUUCUCGGAGUGUUCACCACGACCGGCGCUGCUGCCUGUCUGAUGUGGUCAAACCGGUCUUGCAUUGUCCUUGCGGCUCUGCUUGGUCGGGAUGGCAGGUAACUCGUUGGCUUGUGUGCUGGCCUCGGUUGGCAUGCGUUUGGCUUUCGAGCGUAAUCAGCUGGCUAUGUUAGUACUGUGCAGUGCGUCGGAGACGGCGGCUUGUUGUGGGUGUUCGUGCUUGCUCAUUGACGGUUCCGAGUUUGAUUGUUAUGUUGCCUGUCUCUAUAGGCCUGGUAAUAGCUCGGUUCUGCUUGGUGGGCAGUUGCGGAUGCUUUACAUUUCAGGGCCAACAGUCUGUGGUGUAGUGGUAGACUAUCCACCCGACCCGUCUUG